rnacentral:rRNA from 1 species
GUUGAACGCUGGCGGCAGGCCUAACACAUGCAAGUCGAACGAGUGGCGGACGGGUGAGUAAUGUCUGGGAAACUGCCUGCUGGCGGGGGAUAACUACUGGAAAUGGUAGCUAAUACCGCAUACCAUCGGAUGUGCCCAGAUGGGAUUAGCUAGUAGGUGGGGUAAAGGCUCACCUAGGCGACGAUCCCUAGCUGGGCUGAGAGGAUGACCAGCCACACUGGAACUGAGAAACGGUCCAGACUCCGACGGGAGGAAGCAGUGGGGAAGAUUGCAAAAGGGGCGAAAGCCGGAUGCAGCCAGGCCGGGUGUAGGAGGAAGGCCUUCGGGUUGUAAAGUACUUUCAGCGGGGAGGCGUUACCCGCAGAAGAAGCACCGGCUAACUCCGUGCCAGCAGCCGCGGUAAUAC